rnacentral:lncRNA from 1 species
UGUUCGCUACAAGCAGGCUUGUUUACUGAGAUAUAUGAUAAAAAGGAUUUUAAGCAUGAAACCUGAUACUUUUAUGCACUAUACUGGUAUUCUAAGUAUUCAAACAUUUGAAACUAUUGUGUUGUCCUAAGCUAUAAACAAUGUCCCUAAAUCACUUUUUUUUCAAAUUGCUUUCGCUUAAUAACUGCAUUAUAUCUUGUACUGGUUAUUGAUCUUCAGCCAGUUUGACUGAAGAUUGCUUGCUAAAUAUAGGCAUUAUUCACUAGCGUUCAAGCAAGAAACCUGGGAAACAUGGAUCCUCCACUGACCUGAUACAUUGCAUGACAUGAUAAUGUUAAUUUACUUUCAUCCUUCUCAUAAAUUGAGUUAAACUCCGAUAUGAUUUUAGCUUCACCUUUUUUUGUGUGUAUGUAUGUGUGUUGAUUUCAGCUUCAGCAUGAACCAAUUCAAAACAAAGUUGAUUUUGGAGUUUCAUCUGAAACUAUUCAUAAACCUAGUUAGCCAUUCCGUCUGGUUCAGUCUAUAGUAUUGAUUGCAAGGUACCAUGCUUAUAUUGUUCUCUGAAAUGUCACUAAAAUUUGUUCAGGCAAGGUUCAUCAUAUGCAAUAUCCAAUCUCUGGUUCAUGUGCAGUGAGCUCCACUGACUGGACAAUGAGAUGGUACUUAAAAUGCCUACUGUAUUGGUAUAUGUCAUUAUUGUACAUCUUCUCAUGGCCUUAAUUCCAAUCUAGUCAGGUUGGCUUUACAAAUCCUCAAAACGCCAAAGUUUUCCUAUUUAGGGUUGCCUCUGAUGUUAUUCCAAUGCUGUGUCUUUUCUGAUAUUUGUUCUGCAGUAUAUUUCUCAAUGAAGUUCAUUGCUUUAGGAUGGUAAGGGAUG